CGUGUGCUGCAGUGUCAGCAAUGCCCUACGUACGUAGAGCCCCUCCCUGACAGCGGCUCCAUUUUGUUUGAUUGUGUAGUCUGCGGUCUCUGUCGACCUCCAGCAAAAAUACGAGCAGGACCAGCCUGAAAGAGCCACCGCCGACGGCCUCGAGAUGAGCGGAUGUCGCAUUUUCAUCGGCCGACUCAGCCCCUCGGCUCGGGAGAAGGACGUGGAGCGGUUCUUCAAGGGCUACGGCCGCAUCCGAGACAUCGACCUGAAGAGAGGCUUCGGGUUUGUGGAGUUUGACGACCCCAGAGAUGCUGAGGAUGCAGUGUAUGAGCUCGAUGGCAAAGAGCUGUGUAAUGAAAGGGUGACCAUUGAGCACGCCCGCGUUCGCCUGCGUGGCGGCCGUGGUCGGGGGGGCAGCGGCGGAGGGGGACGUUUCUCCGACCGCUACGGCCGCGGUUCCCAGAACAGUCGGAGCCGAAAUCCGCCUCCGAUGCGCACUGAAAAUCGCCUGAUUGUGGAGAACUUGUCCUCUCGCGUCAGCUGGCAGGACUUGAAAGAUUUCAUGAGACAAGCUGGAGAAGUGACAUUCGCUGACGCACAUCGACCCAAGCUCAAUGAAGGGGUCGUUGAGUUUGCCUCUUACAGCGAUCUGAAAAAUGCCCUUGAGAAACUGUCUGGAAAGGAAAUCAAUGGCAGAAAAAUCAAGCUUAUUGAAGCAGCAAAGAAGAGGUCGAGGAGUCGAUCCCGGUCCGACUCCUCCUCUCGCUCGCGCUCUCGGUCUCGGUCUCGGUCUCGUGGUCGCUCCGCAUCGCGCUCCCCCCGACGCUCCCGCAGCCCCGGCAAGGGCCGCUCCCGCUCACGCUCACGCUCACGCUCCCGCUCCCGCUCCCGCUCACGCAGCGCCUCCCCCGCCGGCGGCGCCUCGUCGCCGUCGUCCAAGUCCAAGGAGGCCGCCAAGCGCUCCAAGACGAGCAAGUCGGCCAGCCCGCACUCGCCCCCGCCCGCUCAGAGAGCCUCGGCCUCCCGGUCCCGCUCCCGGUCCCGGUCCAGAUCGCGCUCCCGCUCGCCUUCCACCGACAGUCAGCGCUAACCGCGUUCAAGUAUUAGGGAAAUCGGCUGUAGAAAGCAGUAGAAUCAGCUCGGAGUAGUCAGCAGACUGGAGCUCUCAUGAACACUAGUGAGACACAGAUGAGACAAGUUUUUGUAAGUUUAUUUAUUUUUUUAUGUUUGGGUUUUUCCCGUUUUUGGCUUUUUUUCCAUCGCUGUCUUCAGGUUGUUAGAGACGGACGUGACUCCACGUUUGAACAUGUUCAUCCAUGGAGGGUGCAGCUCCUUGGCUGUGCCAGCGUCUCGGGUCACGGCCGCCGGGCCCAUGACCGCAGCAGAAGCUCAGACGGAGCCCGUCUUCCUCGCCGGUGCUGGGACGCUG